rnacentral:rRNA from 1 species
AGUGAACGCUGGCGGUAGGCCUAACACAUGCAAGUCGAACGGCAGCACAGUAAGAGCUUGCUCUUACGGGUGGCGAGUGGCGGACGGGUGAGGAAUACAUCGGAAUCUACUUUUUCGUGGGGGAUAACGUAGGGAAACUUACGCUAAUACCGCAUACGACCUACGGGUGAAAGCAGGGGAUCUUCGGACCUUGCGCGAUUGAAUGAGCCGAUGUCGGAUUAGCUAGUUGGCGGGGUAAAGGCCCACCAAGGCGACGAUCCGUAGCUGGUCUGAGAGGAUGAUCAGCCACACUGGAACUGAGACACGGUCCAGACUCCUAAGGGAGGCAGCAGUGGGGAAUAUUGGACAAUGGGCGCAAGCCUGAUCCAGCCACACCGCGUGGGUGAAGAAGGCCUUCGGGUUGUAAAGCCCUUUUGUUGGGAAAGAAAAGCAGCAGGUUAAUACCCCGCUGUUCUGACGGUACCCAAAGAAUAAGCACCGGCUAACUUCGUG